UGAGGCACGAAAGCGUGGGGAGCGAACCGGAUUAGAUACCCGGGUAGUCCACGCCGUAAACUAUGGAUACUAGCUGUUUGGGGUAUCGACCCCCUGAGUAGCGAAGCUAACGCGUUAAGUAUCCCGCCUGUGGAGUACGAUCGCAAGAUUAAAACAUAAAGGAAUUGACGGGGACCCGCACAAGCGGUGGAUCAUGUUCUCUAAUUCGAUGAUAACCGAUAAACCUUACCAGGACUUGACAUCCUUGGGAGCACUACGAAAGUAGAGUGUGCCUUUUGGAACCAAGUGACAGGUGAUGCAUGGCCGUCGUCAGCUCGUGUCGUGAGAUGUUAGGUUAAGUCCUUCAACGAGCGCAACCCUUGUGAAUAGUUGUAUUUUUCUAUUCAAACUGCCCCGGUAACGGGGAGGAAGGAGGGGAUGACGUCAGGUCAGUAUUUCCCUUACGUCCUGGGCUAGAAACGUGAUACAAUGGCUAGUACAAUGCGCCGCGAAGCCGCGAGGUGAAGCAAAUCGCAUCAGAGCUAGUCCCAGUUCGGAUUGGAGGCUGAAACUCGCCUCCAUGAAGUCGGAAUCGCUAGUAAUCGCAGAUCAUCAUGCUGCGGUGAAUACGUUCCCGGGUCUUGCACACACCGCCCGU
rnacentral:rRNA from 1 species